UGCGUAGGCGGCGUUGUAAGUCAGAAGUGAAAGCUUUCAGCUUAACUGGAAAAUUGCUUUUGAUACUGCAGUGCUUGAAUCAGGUUGAGGUUAGCGGAAUGUGACAUGUAGCGGUGAAAUGCAUAGAUAUGUCAUAGAACACCAAUUGCGAAGGCAGCUAACUAGGCCUGUAUUGACGCUGAGGCACGAAAGCGUGGGGAGCGAACAGGAUUAGAUACCCUGGUAGUCC
rnacentral:rRNA from 1 species